rnacentral:rRNA from 1 species
GCUCAGGAUGAACGCUGGCGGCGUGCUUAACACAUGCAAGUCGAACGAUGAUCCGGUGCUUGCAUCGGGGAUUAGUGGCGAACGGGUGAGUAACACGUGAGUAACCUGCCCUUGACUCUGGGAUAAGCCUGGGAAACUGGGUCUAAUACCGGAUAUGACUCCUCAUCGCAUGGUGGGGGGUGGAAAGCUUUUGUGGUUUUGGAUGGACUCGCGGCCUAUCAGCUUGUUGGUGAGGUAAUGGCUCACCAAGGCGACGACGGGUAGCCGGCCUGAGAGGGUGACCGGCCACACUGGGACUGAGACACGGCCCAGACUCCUACGGGAGGCAGCAGUGGGGAAUAUUGCACAAUGGGCGCAAGCCUGAUGCAGCGACGCCGCGUGAGGGAUGACGGCCUUCGGGUUGUAAACCUCUUUCAGUAGGGAAGAAGCGAAAGUGACGGUACCUGCAGAAGAAGCGCCGGCUAACUACGUGCCAGCAGCCGCGGUAAUACGUAGGGCGCAAGCGUUAUCCGGAAUUAUUGGGCGUAAAGAGCUCGUAGGCGGUUUGUCGCGUCUGCCGUGAAAGUCCGGGGCUCAACUCCGGAUCUGCGGUGGGUACGGGCAGGCUAGAGUGAUGUAGGGGAGACUGGAAUUCCUGGUGUAGCGGUGAAAUGCGCAGAUAUCAGGAGGAACACCGAUGGCGAAGGCAGGUCUCUGGGCAUAACUGACGCU